UAGUGUCUACUUGUCUAACAUUAGGUGU
rnacentral:sRNA from 1 species